GACGAACGCUGGCGGCGUGCCUAAUACAUGCAAGUCGAACGCUUCUUUUUCACCGAACUUCGGUUCAUCGAAAAAGAGGAGUGGCGAACGGGUGAGUAACACGUGGGUAACCUGCCCAUCAGAAGGGGAUAACACUUGGAAACAGGUGCUAAUACCGUAUAAUGCUUUUUCUCGCAUGAGAGCAAGCUGAAAGGCGCUUUUGCGUCACUGAUGGAUGGACCCGCGGUGCAUUAGCUAGUUGGUGAGGUAACGGCUCACCAAGGCCACGAUGCAUAGCCGACCUGAGAGGGUGAUCGGCCACACUGGGACUGAGGCACGGCCCAGACUCCUACGGGAGGCAGCAGUAGGGAAUCUUCGGCAAUGGACGAAAGUCUGACCGAGCAACGCCGCGUGAGUGAAGAAGGUUUUCGGAUCGUAAAACUCUGUUGUUAGAGAAGAACAAGGAUGAGAGUAAAAUGUUCAUC
rnacentral:rRNA from 1 species